rnacentral:rRNA from 1 species
GAUGAACGCUGGCGGCGUGCUUAACACAUGCAAGUCGAACGAUGAAGCCCAGCUUGCUGGGUGGAUUAGUGGCGAACGGGUGAGUAACACGUGAGUAACCUGCCCUUAACUCUGGGAUAAGCCUGGGAAACUGGGUCUAAUACCGGAUAGGAGCGUCCACCGCAUGGUGGGUGUUGGAAAGAUUUAUCGGUUUUGGAUGGACUCGCGGCCUAUCAGCUUGUUGGUGAGGUAAUGGCUCACCAAGGCGACGACGGGUAGCCGGCCUGAGAGGGUGACCGGCCACACUGGGACUGAGACACGGCCCAGACUCGUACGGGAGGCAGCAGUGGGGAAUAUUGCACAAUGGGCGCAAGCCUGAUGCAGCGACGCCGCGUGAGGGAUGACGGCCUUCGGGUUGUAAACCUCUGUCAGUAGGGAAGAAGAGAAAGUGACGGUACCUGCAGAAGAAGCACCGGCUAACUACGUG